rnacentral:rRNA from 1 species
UACGAAGGGGGCUAGCGUUGCUCGGAAUUACUGGGCGUAAAGGGAGCGUAGGCGGACAUUUAAGUCAGGGGUGAAAUCCCAGAGCUCAACUCUGGAACUGCCUUUGAUACUGGGUGUCUUGAGUGUGAGAGAGGUAUGUGGAACUCCGAGUGUAGAGGUGAAAUUCGUAGAUAUUCGGAAGAACACCAGUGGCGAAGGCGACUUACUGGACACAUAUUGACGACUGAGGUG